UGUGUGUUCUAAAUAUACUCAUGUGUAUUCCAACUAUACUCUAAAUAUAUUACAAAAGACGACACUAUUUAUAACACGUAAACACAGUACUUAAUACAUAGACGAAUUUACAGGAAGAUAAAAACAUUACUUCCGGAACGCUGGAACUUUGACCGGAAGGAGGGUAACGGUUUUUGGUGGCACAGAAAAUAAAAAAAUAGGAAGUCAUUACCAACACCUAAACACAUCUCAUGAUCCAUGAUAAUUUUGAAUUUGGUCAACUUUAAAAAAUAGCAAACACUCCAAUAGCCCGGGAUCUGAUAUUGUAUAAUUAAUCUUAAUAUAAUAUUAUGGAGGCCUAGUGAAUGAAAUAUCAAGGGUUGCGUGAUAAUAAGCUAUGAAUGUUGCGAAAUGCAAAGUAUCACGAUUUAAAUUAUAAUUACAUGAUAAUGUAAUCUCUUAUAUCCAUGAAAUUUUUUACAUUCGCAAAUUUAUUACUUUUUAAUUAGUUUAAUUGUUAUUAUAUCAUUUUAUAUUUAUUAUACAGUAAAAUACAUACUGUAAAUAACAAUAAAAAGUCAAGUUUAGUGGAUAGGUACUUGUGCUUUGUUCGUGUUAACUUAUUUGGUAUAAUCAACAACAUAUUUGGAUUUCAUACUCAUCGAGCAGGAAUGAACUAAAUCAUUUAAAUUGGACAAAGGUGGGGAUUACUUUAAAAUAUAAUAAUAUUUGCCCCUAACCUUAAGAUCUAAAUAUAUUCGAAGAUAACAGAAGGUGGCUUUACUGCACAAAUUGAGGUUUUGAUAUGGCCAACCUAGGUAAAUCGGGUGUGAAUCUGCUUUACAUCCUUAUAAGUUAUAAGUAACUUAGUCCCAUUCCAGCUUUUCCAUUUUCAGACUCAGUUUUUUUUCUUAAUAAUAAUAAAUAUUUUUUAAGGUUUAUUAUUUCAAAUGCCUCAUUCAUAAUACAGUUUUCUAACCCCAUCUUGUCAACAUUUAAUAUUUUACUUAAACGGUCAGUGGGCAUUAUAUAUAAUACCUAAGUAUAACAUAGAAUACCUAGGAAGAGUAUGAAAAAAAUAUUUUAUUAUAUAGUUUGCCUGAGACCAUCAGGCAUUAUAUACAUUACCUAGGUAUUUUAUAUAAUUCCUAAAUAUGCAUACUGCCUGUAAUAUAACCACACAUUUUUAUAACUUAGUGUAGGGUAAAUUACGGGAUUUUUUCUCUUUUGAUUUUUUUCGUUUCCAGCUAAUAAGUCGCAAUAUGUAUAAAAACUUAAAGCUUUAAAUGCAAAUUUAGAAAACGCAUGACGCAUCCAGUAUAUAUUUUAUUAAGCUAUUGCUGCCAGGUACAUAAAUAAUUAUAGAAAUGAUGAAAUAAGAUUGCGGUGCCAAUAUGGAAUAAUAUAUUUUAAAUCAUAAAAGGUUACGAGCAUAUUGAGAAUAAUUAAUACAUGUGUAUAGCUUCAUUACGUAAAAUUGAAUUAUUUUAUUGUUAAUGCUAAUACAUAGUAUUGGGGUUUUCUUGCAUGAGGCUCUAAAACAAAAUAUUUACUAUGACUUUACCUCUGAAAUAAAUUUUCGGUUUCUUGGAAAAUGGAAAUCCCCAAGGUAAUACUUUUCUACAAAAGAUAUCAGCUUAGCAUGACACACAUUUAAAGGUAUUCAUAUAGAUACUGUCAUGGUUAAAGCAUAUAUAUUUUUUGUCAUCCUUAUUUGCGCCAUCCUUAGCCUUGUCAUCAGCUCUCCCAUUGAUUUUGACGUCACAGGACAAGCUAAUGGACUAAUAACACUAGGUUCAAGUCCAACAACUGGGAUCAUAAAGAAAGAAAUUAAUACCGGAAAACCAAAAUGCGAAAAAUUUAAAUACAUCAGAUUUAUUAGAAGACAUAUUUGUGUGAAAUAUAGCACUAGUGAAGAAAAACCCAAGACCGAUACCAGUGCUAGACUGAAACCACUGCAAAGUUUAUUAGCUUAGUUUUUUUACAUGUUUGUUCGUUAUGAAAAAUUGAUGAUAAGUUGAAUGUAUGUAUUCAAAUAUUUACAUUUUUGUACCAACCUUAAUUAUUUACCACAUGACGAAAAAAAAAAUGAUUUUUCGUAUUUAACAAAAAUAGAACA
rnacentral:lncRNA from 1 species